AUACGGAGGGUGCAAGCGUUAUUCGGAAUCACUGGGCGUAAAGGACGCGUAGGCGGGUUGGCAAGUCAGAUGUGAAAUCCUACAGCUUAACUGUAGAACUGCAUUUGAAACUGCUAACCUAGAGUAUGGGAGGGGGAGAUGGAAUUAGUGGUGUAGGGGUAAAUUCCGUAGAUAUCACUAGGAAUACCGAAAGCGAAGGCGAUCUCCUGGAACAUAACUGACGCUAAGGCGUGAAAGCGUGGGGAGCAAACAGGAUUAGAAACCCUAGUAGUCC
rnacentral:rRNA from 1 species